GCUUGAAUGUAUCAUUAGAAACUCUGGUACUUCAUUCUAUAUUUCAAAACGUAUCAUAGAGUAAAUGCUGUAACUUGAACCUGGUUCCUGACUUGUGAAAACAUCAUGUGUCUCUGCUACCAAAGCCAAGAGAACUGUGCCAAUUACAUGCCUGAACCUGUUUCAGUUUAAUUACAUGGAUUACUGAAGCAUAAACAACCUUUGUGCUUAAUUGACCCUUAUAAUUGUCUUAGUUCUCUGCUUUGCCCUUCUUGGGGGUAUAAUUCCAUGUCCUACUAUUAUUAGGAAGAAAAAUUCACUUCCUUUUUUGGUAACUCCAAAAAAAAGAAAGAUUAAAAUAUACUUUAGUGCUCAGAGAAUUAACAUUUUAUCAGCCUCUGUAGCUAGAGAGUAAUAUACUGAGCAAAGGGGAAAGAGAUGACCCAGAGUCACCUCAUUAUCCUCAUGUGAGAGU
rnacentral:lncRNA from 1 species